AGUGAACGCUGGCGGUAGGCCUAACACAUGCAAGUCGAACGGCAGCACAGUAAGAGCUUGCUCUUACGGGUGGCGAGUGGCGGACGGGUGAGGAAUACAUCGGAAUCUACUUUUUCGUGGGGGAUAACGUAGGGAAACUUACGCUAAUACCGCAUACGACCUACGGGUGAAAGCAGGGGAUCUUCGGACCUUGCGCGAUUGAAUGAGCCGAUGUCGGAUUAGCUAGUUGGUGGGGUAAAGGCCCACCAAGGCGACGAUCCGUAGCUGGUCUGAGAGGAUGAUCAGCCACACUGGAACUGAGACACGGUCCAGACUCCUACGGGAGGCAGCAGUGGGGAAUAUUGGACAAUGGGCGCAAACCUGAUCCAGCCAUACCGCGUGGGUGAAGAAGGCCUUCGGGUUGUAAAGCCCUUUUGUUGGGAAAGAAAAGCAGCAGGUUAAUACCCCGCUGUUCUGACGGUACCCAAAGAAUAAGCACCGGCUAACUUCGUG
rnacentral:rRNA from 1 species